AAUGAAGAAUGGAAGGAGGAUGGAAGGAACAGAACUCCUGGACCCUGAAACAGGAAACUCUUCAUCCUCUUGCCAUCUGUGCUUAAAAGACCCAUGAAAGCAUGUCUGUAGAAGCAUUGCGUGAAACGAGAGCUAAGAGCAGGUGACAGAGUGGAGUAUAUGUCUGAAGACCUUAAAAGACAUGCCCGUGGGGAAUUGUACCACAGACUUUGCAUCUGGACUACAGUAAGCUGUAAAUGAUCGCAUCCUCGGCUUCUGUUGGUUUGCAUGACAGCCCCAGAUCCUCAGUGAUGGCCCUGAUUUUGUGCUUGGGAUGUGUUUCCACCCUCUGGAGGAUGAGUCCAGAAAUACUCUCCAUCCCUGGAGGAUUCCACUCGGACUCUGGCUGUCCUCAGCCAGCAGCAGCAAGGUGGUGACCGCAUGCCUGCCAGCCACCCGAGACCUCCAGGCAUGGUGUGGUGGGGCAGCUGGUGUUGUGAAUCAGGCCGUUGCCAAUCAGAGAACGGCUACUUCACAACACCAGGGUCACACCCCAUCACAGGCACCGGCUGCCGUCAAGGCUGCGCAGCGGCUCAUCUCAGGGACACAGCCAUGCCCUCUGGAAGCCCAGCAUGCAUGCAGCUGUGGCUCCUCCUGCACAAACAGCUCUACUCAUAAAAGAAAAACCACUCCUGGCUAUGGCCUUCCCACUGUGAAACGGAGCUUUCACCCCUGUAAGGGUUAAGUGCCACUAAACUGAGUGUUUCCUCCCAGAUGCCAGAAACCCAAAGGGUGGACUUGGGUCUUGGUUUUGAUAUGUGGCGGUGGUAGCUUUGGAAAGGGCAAGGUGGCAGGAAGGGAAGCCCUAGUUACAGGUGGUGGCCUCAGGGGACACCCCUGGAGAGAUGGAGGCCUUUGGUAGCCACACAGACAGGGGACAGGUUCCCUGGAGAGUAAAGGCCUUUCUUUGAGUGUGAGAGUGCCACAGCUCUCCGGGAGGCCUGUGUCCCAGCGUGGCUGGAUGAGAGCCAACAAAGGGACCCUCCCUAGAGGGUUGACUUCUCUGGCAGGCCCAUCCUGGUAAUAUGUCACCUGUGCUGACAGGUGGGCUUUCUUCUACAGGACCUCACAGCCAGGGGCCCGGCAGCAUUGAAAUCUAACAAAGGUCCCCAGAGCUCAUGCCUGACUUAAAUCUUACACAGGACACCAUCGUAUUUCAGAGCCAAGCAGGGAGUUGAGAGAUGGAGUGGCUGUGCCGGCCAGUGUCCUUUCUGAGGCUCUAAGGAAAAGAAAGAGGCCUACCUCUGGCUGUCUGUGGGGCACAGAGAGCACCCAGAGCCACUCUGAUUAGCCAGGCUCUGUGUCACCUCCAUGCUGUGCCACUGUCCCAUAGGAAGCAGCGGGACGGAGGAAGACAGCCUGGUGGAAACGCACCGAGCAAGGUUGCACAGAGCCUGAGAGAAGCAGAACAGCCCUGGGUCCCUGUCCCCUUGGGGUUCCGGGAGGGGAGUCUGCCGCCCCUCACCCACCCCAAACCACGGCAUGUCUGACGUUUGUACCAAGUUAUGCCUGGGACAGGUAUCUUAGAGUUGAGAGUCCUAGUUUCUCGGAAGUUCCUGCUGCCUUUUCCUGGAAACACCUGCGCCGCCCGCCUCGGAGAAUCCAUGCCCUAGCAGCGCCCUGACCACAGCACGGUGAAGCCAGUGCGGCUUGCGUGGCCCCCAGGGCGGCCGGGGGCAGAGGGGGGAUCCGGCCGCACAGCACACCCCGGUGCAGCGGUCUCAGCCCGGGGCGGGCGAGGCUGGGGCCUUCCGCAGCGCCCGCAGGUGCAGGCCCUCGUGCGGCUCCGCGGCCUGCACGCCCCCGGCCCUCGCCAUCCUCCCCGUGCUGUCCAGCCGGUUCCCGAGCCCAGGCUCCCCACCCCGGAGGCCCGGUGAGGUGCCCGGUGAGGUGCCCGGCGCAGUGAGCGCUGCAAGCUGGACUCUGCCUUUCCAUUUAGCCACUGCGCAUCCAGCCACGGGCCUCUCCCUGAGGGUGCGUCUGCCCCUGGCCGUUUCUAGGCUCCCUGAGGGCAGGGGCGUUCAGCUGCAUUCACUGUGCGCCUUCCAGCCCAGCUCCACGUCCGGCCUUGGGUAGUAGCUCAGUAUGUCGUUCAAGACACGAAAGAGGACAGCCCGGACUGUGAGGGCCUUUCAGGGUCACGCUCUAGUCCUCUUGCCCAUUGGAGCCCCAGGUUUAUUUUCCUUUCAGUGACAUGAUAAUAAGAGCGGGCACUUACAGCAUGCAGACGGUAGGCCAGGCACUGCUCUGGGCACAUGGUAUCCAUUUAGCCACUUAUAGCCUCGGUUUCCCCAUAAUGGGCAGGUCACGUGACCAUCUUAUCAGCUAAGUACUGAGGUCGCGCCAUCCACACUGUUGUUACUCAAACCCAGGUAGCCUGGCCCCAGGGUCCCCGCCGUGAGCCGCUGCUGCACACCCCGAGGAGCUAAAGUGCAGGGGACAAGGCUGGCGUGGGAGGCCCCCGGGGCUUGCUCCCAGGAACCCAACAAAGCCUCCUCCAUUCUCGGAAGCUUCCAAUCUGGUUUCCUUAGCCAGAUAGACCAGGCACUAUUCUGUUUGUGCCUUCCUGAAAGGUUAGUUUCUAACCUUGUUAAAAGCACUUCAUAGGGAAACCUGAUUAAAAAACCUAAUAAAAUAAAAAAUGGGGUCA
rnacentral:lncRNA from 12 species